rnacentral:rRNA from 1 species
AUGAUGGUCAACUUCACCCAUUCAUAUGAGAAAACCAUGGUUGAGAGUGUACCGGCAGUGUUGGAGUGGUGGUUGGAUUUGAUCGGUAACAAGGACAUGUUGCCAUUGUCUGUCGGGCCCAAUUCUUCUGAAUUUAGAUGUUUAAGCUUGAACAGCGAUAGCUAUUUCGUUUUUGGAGAUUAUGAAAAAAGACGGUGCAACUGUUCUCAAGGAUACGAGGGCAACCCUUACAUCACUGAUGGGUGCCAAGGUAUGUUACCAGUACUUUCUGCUGCAUUCUUACAUAGUUGCGGUAGUUAUAACAUUACGAAAGAACAUGCAUGUGCUGUCUUAGCUUUUUGCAUUCGAUGUAUAAAACCCCCUGCUUUCCAACAGUGUGUUUUUUCCCCUUCAGAUAUUAAUGAGUGCCUACAACCAGAUGUUUAUCCCUGCAAUGGGACCUGCAUCAAUAUGCCAGGGACAUACCAAUGCUCAGCAAAGAAAAGAAUCAUCACUUUACCAGGUACAAAAACACACACUUGA